rnacentral:rRNA from 1 species
AGGAUGAACGCUGGCGGCGUGCCUAACACAUGCAAGUCGAACGAAGCAUGAUUGAAGGAGACUUCGGUCAAUGGAUAUCAUGACUUAGUAGGCGGACGGGUGAGUAAUACAUGAGCAACCUGCCUUUCAGAGGGGGACAACAGCUGGAAACGGCUGCUAAUACCGCAUAACGUGCGAGAGGGGCAUCCCUUUUGUACCAAAGGAGCAAUCCGCUGAAAGAUGGGCUCAUGACUGAUUAGUUAGUUGGCAGGGCAACGGCCUACCAAGACUGCGAUCAGUAGCCGGACUGAGAGGUUGAACGGCCACAUUGGGACUGAGAUACGGCCCAGACUCCUACGGGAGGCAGCAGUGGGGAAUAGUUGGGCAAUGGGCGAAAAAGCCUGACCCAGCAACGCCGCGUGAAGGAAGAAGGUCUUCGGAUUGUAAACUUCUUUUAUGAGGGACGAAGGACGUGACGGUACCUCAUGAAUAAGCCACGGCUAACUACGUGCCAGCCGCCGC